CCAGCUUCUUUCCCUGUCAUCCCUUGGGUAUCGUUGCGUGGCUCCCGAUCUUCGUGGGUUCGGUGACACCGAUUCUCCUUCCUCGGCGGAUUCAUACACUGUAUUCCACAUCGUGGGGGAUCUCGUGGGCCUCCUCGACGCGCUCAACAUUGACCGGGUGUUUUUGGUAGGACAUGAUUGGGGUGCGGUGAUUGCUUGGUCUUUUUGCCAGUUCCGGCCUGGUAGAGUCAAGUGUUUGGUCAACAUGAGCGUGGCGUAUCGGCCUAGGCACCGCACCCCAAGGUGAAGCCCGUGGAAGGGGUCGGGGCUUUGUUUGGUGACGAUUAUUAUAUUUGCAGGUUCCAGGUAAUUGACUCAGUCACAUGAUUUUGAGUUACUUACCUGUUUUCUUUUCUCUGUUUUAAAGUUGUCAUUCGGAAUAACGAUUUUAUUGGGUAAAACGGCAUCUGGGUUUUAAGGGAAUUUACUCUUUUAAUGAUUGUUAGAUUAGUUGGGUGACUAUAUGUUUGCGCUGGUUACCUUUCUAUUUGCAAAUAGUUUUGAAGCCAUCAUCACGAACUACAAUUAUCCAUUUAUCAUCUUUUUUUUUUUUGAAAUAUUAUAUAUUCUUUGACUAGAGCGAGAAGAAAAUAAUUUGGUAGUACAUUGAUUGUUUUGCAUGAGAGAAUUGCUUGAAUUACUGGGGUUAUUGACUUUCCGGGUAGUUGAGUAGCAUCAAUUAUGUGAUUUUGGAAUAAUUGGGUUUUCCUAUCUGCUUUCGGUAAUGGACUUUUAGCAUUUAAGUUUCCUGCCUGAACGGCUCCACUUAUUUUUGUGUUGGAUUAUAGGCCUCGUCUUAGCUUUUAAGAUAACAAAAUCCAGUGUCCCACUCCCACAACUACUAAUGUAUAUAAGAAGAGAAACUCGGAUUGUGGUUUUACUUUUGAAUUUGAUGAUUUCUAUAUACUCAUUUUUUCCAUUCUAAACUUUUUUGUGCGGACAAAUGGUUUCUAUGAGGUGUGAUUAAUGAAGGAAGCUAUAGUCAUCUCUGCUGGAUCCAGAAAUAAGAUUAUAGUGAAGCUCAGACUACUGUGAUACUGUCCACUGUCCAGUUUACAUCAACCGAGGAUAUGUCCCCACGAUUGUUUACAUGAUUGAGAUCACAUUUAGUAUACAUAUUUUUCUUGUUACAAUUGAAAGGAAUUGCCGUCAUCUUCUUCUGCUUCCUUGCCCUUGUCCUUGGGAACAAAUAUUUUAAACAUGACCGAUGUAUUAGCUUGCUUCAAUUUAAAAACAUGGAUGCUGAAAUACUUUAUCUUAAUAGGUUUAAGUUGUUUGAUUCUCUGAUGUUUACUUUUCUUCUUUUCUGUUAUCUAAAAUCCUUAUAUGUAUUCAAUUUUAUUUUCAUUGUAUGUAUUCUUCAUCAUGCUAUAGGAACCUGGGGAGAUUGAAGAAGACUUUGCUCAGAUGGAUACUGCAAAGCUUAUAAAGAGAUUUCUUGCAUCUCGCAGUCCACGUCCAAUUUGUAUACCUAAAGAAAUAGGGUUCAGAGGGUUUCCUGAUCCUCCAGCCUUGCCCUCUUGGCUUUCAGAAGAAGACAUCAAUUACUUUGCUAGCAAAUUUAAUGAGAAGGGAUUCACUGGAGGACUUAACUAUUAUCGAGCUUUGGAUCUGUAUGUACAAGUGUGCAUGUUAAUAUCGUUGAACUCUCAUUUCUAUUCCGUUUUUCUAUUUCAGGAGGAUUAUUAGAUAAACAUGAAAUUUGGAGCCUAGAUGUUCAGUAUAACACUUGGUGGAGCAGUUACUUGAAGAUGAUUUUGAUUCAUAUCAUUCAACGCAUCUAUUUCAAUCUUGAUAUCACAUACAUAAUAGACUAUAAUACUUAUUUGAGCAGAGAACUUGAUCCUUUCCACCAAAUAUUUCCUCUUGCUCUUCAUUUUGGUUAGGCAUUAGUAGACCCUGAGGACUUAAUUCCUCAAAACUUGAAAAAACUGUUAUCUAUUGUGGGAGGGCCUUUUUGUAUAGCCAAGCUAAUUCAAUCUUUCUUGCUGCAGAAACUGGGAACUGAUGGCACCAUGGACAGGACUGCAAAUCAAUGUACCAGUUAAAUUCAUCGUGGGGGACCUGGACGUUACCUAUCACAUCCCUGGUGUUAAGGAAUAUAUACACAAUGGUGGCUUCAAGAAGGAUGUGCCUUCCUUGCAGGAAGUAGUUGUCAUGGAAGGAGUAGCACACUUUCUCAACCAAGAAAAACCCGAGGAGAUUAGCACACACAUUUAUGACUUCAUUAAGAAAUUCUGAUUUAAUUUCUACUUUGGUACGUGAUUUACCUUGAAGUUCUGACUCUAAAAUAACGAAUCACCCGCUUAAUUGUAUUUGAUGCUUUCCUUGUUUUCUUUGUACUGGUGGAAUUAGUAUUGAUGCAGUGCAGAGUGCUUUGUCGACGCUUAUGGGACUCAAAGUUGGUUCUGGUUACAUAUAGGUAACCUGGGGAGAAUAUAGAGGCUGAGGUAAAGGUCAAGCAAAUAAGUCAGGCCUAGUCGAAUAUAGUUAGAUGUUGAGUUCAUUUGUCUGACGAACUUAAGCUUUUAAUAAUCUUCAUCAAGCAACUUAUUUCCAAUUGAGACACUAUUUAACAUUACAAGGUUAAAUAUGAAUUAGAUUCACAGUUUGCUACUAGUUUCAGCUAUCUCUUUUAUCGUAAUGAACUAGAACUCAGUUAUGCGCGAGCAACCUGUUUCAUUUAUUAGGUAAUAACUGAUUAGGUGUAGGAAUUGCUUAGGCUGUCACCUGUAUACUACAACAGCAUCCAUUAUCGCCAGAGCAUAAAAUCUCAAAUUUGUUCCCAUUUCAACGAUACAACGCUUCACAUAACUGCUAUUGACUACAAAUUAUUCAGAUCUUAAAAGUCCCACUCAGUGCCGUGUAUUUUUAAUCUAAACAAUCUACAUUCUCAGUUUUCUGCAAAGGUCUUUCAUGAAACAUACCUUUAUGAAGCUAAGAAAGUCUUGGACUUAAAUCCAGAAGAUAGGGGAAUAAUAGCUACAUUUUAUUUACAAGAAGACACGUAACAAUUAACAUGCCGGGUCUAGCCAAAAUAUCAAGUCUCACUUAAGAUGGUUAACCAAUGAUGACAUUAAGAACAAAACAACUUGAAAAAGACUUGCGAAACAUCUAGAUUCCAAGGGCAAACAAUGCGAUGCCGAAUGCUGAUGGACGUAUCAGCUAAUCCUUGCAUGAUUCGGUAUGGAACAACAUUAAUCUCUUUGAUAUUUAAUUCUGCAAUGGCUAGUGGCAACCCGUAAAUCCUCCAUGGAGAUCCAAACAAAAAACAUGUUCAAUCACUCUAAAAUUUCCUUGAUAAACAAAACUACAAAAGAUUCCCAACUAUAUUAAUGUUCCAUGGAAGAGAGAAAACAGGAAAGAAGAAAAAAAAACUGAAAAUCCUCAUUUUCACGAUGAUAGCUUGAUAAGUAAUUUUCUUCCAGGACAGUUGCAAACUCAAACCCUGAAGCCUUUGCUGUUCCUUCCUCCUCUAGCCUUCUCAAAUUUCCUUCCCUUUGACCGCACAUAGGGCUUGGUGUGACUGUGAGGCACACCAGGAGCUGGUCCAAAGUGCUUCACAGCCUCACAAGCAUUCUUUGGACCUCGGAGGGGAACGUGCAGAUUAAGAUUUUCAGCAUAGAAUUUGAGUCAAUUUUCACCAUUCCACAAUGUUGAUCAGCUAUUCCUUUUGUCAAACCCCUAAUCAUAACGUCAACAUAAAGAGAAAAAGGGGAAUGAUAUGUAAGAUGAUUAUUCUUCAACAUAUGAAAGCUGUUGUGGUUUGUUUUAUUCUUCUACAUAUUCGUGCUUGUUGCCAACUCGGACGAAAGUUGAUUGGACUUAAACCAUAAUAAAAGGAGUUAAAAACUUUUCUAUCACUUGCCACAAAUUUAGUUUUGUCAAAAUGAACUAAUUCUUUGAUGAGAAAACUCCAAUUUAAUUUAAACGCAUGGUUGUUAAUUUUAAAAAUAUUGAAAAGUUCAAUUAGUUUCUAUUCUUCACUCUCUUUCUUAUAUAGGUAUAUUCUUUGGGUUUUGCUGUCAAGUUUGAACAAUUAGUACAUUAAAGGUUAUUUAACACUUGAUUUGUAUUAAACACAUACAAUCAAAAUUAAUCAAAUUUUCUAAUCUAUUUUUAAUAUAUUUAUCAAACACAGUCACGAUAAGUUUUUUUAUUAUUAUUAUUAUUUUGAGUAAGGGUGUAAUUGAGUUAAGUCAAACCGAUACAAUGAGAGGCUUGAACUCGACCUCGAUUCUCAACUCGCGACUCAAUACUUGGUUUGAACUCUAUCGAUUUUUAUUUUUUUAGCUCAAGCUUGAUUUGUGAUCGAAAUCGAGCUAUUCAAUUAAGCUCGAUUAAUAUGUAAAAAUAAGUUUGAUUCUUAUAUUCAACAAGAGCUUGAUUAUUUGUGCUCGAACUUGAGUUCGAAUUUGAGAUAUUUUAUUAAUUAAAAUAAUAAAAAAAUUUAAAUAUAAAAAUUCGAUUAGACUCGCGAGUUACUCGAAUUUGAUAUAAAAAUAUUUAAAUUUGACUCGAUCAAUGAAUUGAGUUACUUGAGUUUAAACUCGAUUCGAUAUCGAGUUGAAUUCAAAUUUUAUUCGAAUUGAACUCGAGUAAUUUAUGAAAAUUAAUAUAUCAUUUAUAUCUCUAAUUUUGAGGAUAUUUGAGUUACUGAAGGAAAGUAUACCAACCAAAGACAAGUUAGUUAAUACCGCUGGCCUUCUUAGCUCAGCCUACUCAUUAACUCUAAUCUAUUUUCUGGUGUAGCUAGGCCUGGUUUAUGAUAUCGGAGGAUCCACGAAGACGACCCAAAACUGUGCCAAUCAAUUGCUGUUGGACCCUAUAGACCCAAACAUGGUUCAUUAGCUAUCCUAAAUUAAAUUACCUUUUUUUAACAAAAAUUAUAAAAAAAAAAGGGGAAUGGGGCGCAUAGAAAGAACAUGUUCAACUGACAAUUAGACGUUCAAUUAAAGAGAAAAUGAUAUCUACAUAUAAAACAUAAUAACAAAUCCCCAACUAAAAUAUCAAUCCAAAAAGCUGAAGUAGUCAAAUACAAAUGACAUUUUCUUGCCCAAUUAUUCAAAAGAAAGAAGAAAACAUUCAUCUUUCUUCCGACUACUCUUAAAAUUAUAAUGAUAUAGGCAUUUUAUUUUUUUUAUAUAUAUUUAAAAUUAUCAAAAUUAAAUUUUAAUAAAUAAAGUUUAAUUAUGAACUUUAAUCUCACCAUUAACUAUUAUUAAAUCCAUCCCUGAGUUGAAUGAAAAGAUAAUGAUGCUUGAAUAUAAAAGCCUUUAAAAGAGUUAGACUCUUAAAUAUUGAAUUGAAUUUCUCACUCACAUUUUUAUUUUUUUAUAAUACAAGAAAAAAUGGUCCCUGAAUUUAAGCCAAAAAAAACAACCAAUUUUCCAAUGACAUAGCCUUUUAAAGUGUCGAGAUUUUAUGGCACAUCAAUUCCUUACCUUUCUUAUAUAAUACCAGAACACAAGUCUAAUUUCACCUCUAAUCUCAGCAUCAGCAUGUUAUUGUUUAGAAUUUACAUAAUUUUUUUUUAUAAAUGUUUCAAUUGAGGAUUGAAGAAACAAAGACUGAAAUAAAAAGAAAAACAGGUUAAAAAAAUCAGUCUAAAAUUUAUACUCAACUGUUAGUAUUUAAGUUUUAAAACUAAUAUCAUUGUACUAAUUUUAAAUAACUAUUGUUAAUUCUAUUCAAAUGUACAUAUUUCAAACAAUAAUUAUUAGAUAAAAGAGCUUACUAUUAUUGUUUCAUUAAAGCCUUUAAAAACACAUUAAUGGUUAAAUUUGAAUAUUAUAAUAAUAUUAUUUAAAAGUAAUAAAAUAUAAUAAAACAUAAAAAUUAUUUUAUAUUUAAAAUUUUUAAUUUUUCAUUUAUUUUCUAUUUAUUCUAAUCUGAAGUAAUUAAAAAUGAAAGCUUUAGAAAAAAAAAAGGAAAAUAUACUCUAUUUCCUUUUAUUUCUUUUAUUAAUAUGUAAAUGAUAAACCAAACAGAAAUAAAAUUUCCUUAUUUUCCGUACUUUCCUUUUUCUCACAUCCCCUCGAUUCACAUUGGUAUUUCGUUGCGAACACUCAACAGUAUCAAAUUUUGGAUUUUCCUUCUUCUUUUGGUAUCUUUUAUUUGCUUGGUUUUUCUACCUAAGUUUCUGAUUCAGCUUGCCUUUUUCUGCGUAUUUUGGUUCCACCCCUAAGUCCAAACCAAAAAUGACAGGCAACCCAACGUAGAAUAUCUUUAAGAAAAUUCUGUUUCAUAAACAGACAAGACUUUAUAUUUAAGACCAAUGCUAUACCCCAUACGGGAAACGGCCAAACUCGGGGAACUCUCACUACAAAAAAUUUGUCUGAAAGCGAACAUGGAGAAGAUAGAGCACACCAUCGUGACCACCAACGGCAUAAAGAUGCACGUGGCAUCCGUUGGUUCAGGUCCUGUUAUCCUUUUCUUGCACGGCUUUCCUGAGCUUUGGUACUCCUGGCGCCACCAGCUUCUUUCCCUGUCAUGCCUUGGGUAUCGUUGCAUGGCUCCCGAUCUUCGUGGGUUCGGUGACACCGAUUCUCCGCCCUCGGCGGAUUCAUACACCAUAUUCCACAUCGUGGGGGAUCUCGUAGGCCUCCUCGACUCGCUCGACAUUGACCGCGUGUUUUUGGUGGGACAUGAUUGGGGUGCGGUGAUUGCUUGGUAUUUUUGCCAGUUUCGGCCUGAUAGAGUCAAAUGUUUGGUCAACAUGAGCGUGGCGUAUCAGCCUAGGCACCCCAAGGUGAAGACCGUGGAAGGGUUCAGGGCUUUGUUUGGUGACGAUUAUUAUAUUUGCA
rnacentral:lncRNA from 1 species